GAUGAAGAACGUAUCGAAAUGCGAUACUUGGUGUGAAUUGCAGAAUCCCGUGAACCAUCGAGUCUUUGAACGCAAGUUGCGCCCGAAGCCUCGGCUAAGGGCACGUCUGCCUGGGCGUCACGCAUCGCGUCUCCCCCAAACCGCCAAGGCGGAGGGGAAGGAAGAUGGCUUCCCGUGCCUCACCCGGCGCGGUUGGCCUAAAUUUGGAGCCCGCGGCACUUAGCUCUCGCGGCGAUAGGUGGUGAACAAGGCCUUGGCCGUGCAAACAACCCGCUGCGAAGCUCUAUGUCACGUGCGCUCGUCGGACCCUUUGAAGUUGCCUUCGGUGACUUAAAACCUUUGCGACCCCAGGUCAGGCGGGGCUACCCGCUGAAUUUAAGCAUAUCAAUAAGCGGAGGA
rnacentral:misc_RNA from 1 species